rnacentral:rRNA from 1 species
CUCCUACGGGAGGCAGCAGUGAGGAAUAUUGGUCAAUGGUCGGAAGACUGAACCAGCCAAGUAGCGUGAAGGAUGAAGGUUCUAUGGAUUGUAAACUUCUUUUAUACGGGAAUAAAACCUCCCACGUGUGGGAGCUUGUAU